rnacentral:rRNA from 1 species
AUUGAACGCUGGCGGCAUGCCUUACGCAUGCAAGUCGAACGGUAACAGGUCUUCGGAUGCUGACGAGUGGCGAACGGGUGAGUAAUACAUCGGAACGUGCCCGAUCGUGGGGGAUAACGAAGCGAAAGCUUUGCUAAUACCGCAUAAGAUCUACGGAUGAAAGCAGGGGACCGCAAGGCCUUGCGCGAACGGAGCGGCCGAUGGCAGAUUAGGUAGUUGGUGGGAUAAAAGCUUACCAAGCCGACGAUCUGUAGCUGGUCUGAGAGGACGACCAGCCACACUGGGACUGAGACACGGCCCAGACUCCUACGGGAGGCAGCAGUGGGGAAUUUUGGACAAUGGGCGAAAGCCUGAUCCAGCCAUGCCGCGUGCAGGAUGAAGGCCUUCGGGUUGUAAACUGCUUUUGUACGGAACGAAAAGACUCUUUCUAAUAAAGAGGGCCCAUGACGGUACCGUAAGAAUAAGCACCGGCUAACUACGUGCCAGCAGCCGCGGUAA